rnacentral:rRNA from 1 species
GAUCAUGGCUCAGGAUGAACGCUGGCGGCGUGCUUAACACAUGCAAGUCGAACGGACUUUAUAUGAAGCCUAGCGAUUGUAAAGUUAGUGGCGGACGGGUGAGUAACGCGUGAAUAACCUGCCCUGUACCGGGGGACAACAGUUGGAAACGGCUGCUAAUAUCGCAUAAGCGCACGGUUCCGCAUGGAACAGUGUGAAAAACUCCGGUGGUACAGGAUGGAUUCGCGUCUGAUUAGCCAGUUGGG